rnacentral:rRNA from 1 species
UGCAGAGGUCUCAAGCGUUGUUCGGAUUCAUUGGGCGUAAAGGGUGCGUAGGUGGCGCCGUAAGUCGGGUGUGAAAUUUCGGAGCUUAACUCCGAAACUGCAUUCGAUACUGCGGUGCUUGAGGACUGGAGAGGAGACUGGAAUUUACGGUGUAGCGGUGAAAUGCGUAGAUAUCGUAAGGAAGACCAGUGGCGAAGGCGGGUCUCUGGACAGUUCCUGACGCUGAGGCACGAAGGCCAGGGGAGCAAACGGG